rnacentral:rRNA from 1 species
ACGAACGCUGGCCGCGUGCUUAACACAUGCAAGUCGAACGGAAAGGCCCUGCUUUUGUGGGGUGCUCGAGUGGCGAACGGGUGAGUAACACGUGAGUAACCUGCCCUUGACUUUGGGAUAACUUUAGGAAACUGGGGCUAAUACCGGAUAGGAGCUCCUGCUGCAUGGUGGGGGUUGGAAAGUUUCGGCGGUUGGGGAUGGACUCGCGGCUUAUCAGCUUGUUGGUGGGGUAGUGGCUUACCAAGGCUUUGACGGGUAGCCGGCCUGAGAGGGUGACCGGCCACAUUGGGACUGAGAUACGGCCCAGACUCCUACGGGAGGCAGCAGUGGGGAAUAUUGCACAAUGGGCGGAAGCCUGAUGCAGCAACGCCGCGUGCGGGAUGACGGCCUUCGGGUUGUAAACCGCUUUCGCCUGUGACGAAGCGUGAGUGACGGUAAUGGGUAAAGAAGCACCGGCUAACUACGUG